UGGGUUUUUAAGCAUCAGCAGAUCUGCCUUGCAAAUAACCCUCACGCCUAAGGAGUAUGAAAGGAGAUAGUAUACAUCCAAUUAGUUGUGUGAUAUUAAUUAAAUGGGCCAGAUCAUAGAUGAUCUUUUAGCUUAAAUACUAGGAGACAACUAAUAAAAGAUGCUAUUUCUUCAGCCAGCAUUCACAUUCCUAUUCAUAAACCUAUCCCUGGAUCAUAAAAACUCCCAUUUUGUAACAGACACAUACACAGGCAUCUCCUACAAUUCAGUGACCUACACCUCAUCACAUCCUGCAUUCCCUUUAAUCCAACAGUGAAAAAUGCUUCUCUUAUAAAACCGGAAAGUAGAACCAUGUUGAAAUCACUGUAGCUUUCACCCCUCUGGUACUCCAAAGUGUCUUCUGUUUGGAAAAGCUCGGGAAGCACUAUUUGGUUUGGUCAUAAUUCUUGCAAUAUUACAUCACUUUCAUACUAACAAUCAACACAAAUAAAUGUUCAGAACUUAAACCAAGUGAGAGCAGUGGAGUGCGCUGAAUGAGAUAGGCCCCCAGGAGGUUUGCAGUGCUUGAGUAUCUAGCAACCUGAUCUCAGCAAAAAUGUCUGGUAAACUUGAUUUGUCUUAUCAUUUCACAGCUCCACUGCCACCAAGAUUAAACUUCGGGAUUUCAUUUCUUUACUCAGAGUGGGAACGUAUUCAACUGUAGCUGCUUCUCUGCCUGCAAGUUUUAUGGUAGCAGUGAACUAGAGUAUAUUGUGUUAUUAAACCCUAACCAGGCAGUAAAUUACAGAGAGAAAAACAAAAGCAAAUUCUGCUGAGGAGGAUGGUUUUUGUUUUUUAAGUGAACGACGGACUCUACCUUACUCUGAAUGAGCAAAUUGUGAAACAUUUCUUAGGGAUUUGUCAUCAUACUUCAUCUUUAUUUUGUCUUCAGUUUAGCAGUGGAAGCAAUAUUUAAAAGAAAGUUGCUACAUGGGGGAAGGUCAGCUGAGAGAACACUGGUGCCCUAACAGUUGUGACAGUUACCAAGUAAACCCUGUUUCAAUAACUCUUAGGACUGUGCUUUUAAAUCCAUGGAUAAAUAUGCAGAGGAAGAGAAUGAAACCCAAAUAUUUCAACAUUUUCAGCUUUCCUGAAACUGCUGAGUAUAGGUAGCAGUAUCUUUUGCUCAUGGAUUUCAGAUUUUUCAGGGGGAAGUGAUGAGGAAAGGAGGAGACAGAGCAAUGCCAUAAAAUAGACAAAACCAUUCUUUGCCUAAGUUGCGUAAAGACCAUGGGGAGCAGAAGGGAGAAUGGCAGCUCCCUGGAAGGCUGAGAGUGUUGGCCUCCCAUGAAACCUGUUUCUGUGAGUUUUUUCAACCCACUUCCACCCCCAAAGUUGGAGCAGAACUUGGGAGAUGAAGAGCAAGGCAUCUUUGCACCAAAUAGGGAAGCACAAAACUCAGUAGCUCUAUGCUUCCUUCAAUAGUCCCUGCUUCCUUCGAUAAUGAACACAAUCACCAAAAUAUCUUUAUGAAACACUCGUGUGUAUUACACUAUAAAAUCAAACAAAAAGAACCCAUACGUGGUAUGUUCCCCACCUAUCCAUGCCCCCCAUUCCCAUUAUUCAAAACAACAUUGAGGGAAUAAAACUGAAGUGACAGGUUCUAAGAAGUUACUGUCCUCAUUCCCACAAAACUUCCAAAGUUCCAUUGUAGCAAUUUUGAGAAUGCAGAAUUGCUGUUCAAGGUCAAAACUGCCUUAAGGAACCUCCCUUUUUAACAAGUCCUCAGACUAUGAAGAAUUGGAGGGAUGAAACUUUAUUAUACCCUUUUUCUUUUAAAAAGGGUCCCAUUAAAAUGUUUCCCCAAAUUAAUAUAACCAUAAAAGUCUUAAGUAUUAUAUGGUUUCUUUAGAAACAGAUUCUCUUUCACCCUCUGUAGAGAGAGUUAAGGAAUCUGUUUGCAUCACAAAUGACCAUCAGCAAAAGAAAUUUCAUCAGAAGAUAGGGGACUCUUACUGGAAAUUGAAGAAUUAAGAAAUGUAUAAAGGUGUAUGAGUUUCAAAGAUGAUUGACCUUUAAUAUUGCUGAGAAAACUAAUUAGCUCUUCCUCAGGAGCGUUCUGUAAAACAGGGCUUUUUCAAGGAUCUUUGAAAAAAGAAAAGGAGCAAAGAAGAAACCAGUAUACGAGGGUGGUGAGGACAGAAAUUAUGCUCCUUAAUAAAAAUAUUAAAGGACAGUCUUCUCACCACAACAAACAGAACCAUGUGGUCAAAAGAGUUAUGUGUCAGAAUUGCAAACAGCUGAGUGCCUGAAAGAAACAAAUAGGGUCAGUGGAAAUAUGCGCUUGCUCCCAAACGUUUUCAGGCCAUCUCUUCAAUCCUCUGCAAGGAACAUUAGGGAUUCUUCCAUUUUGGCUGACAUACUUAGAAGAAGUCUGAGGAUAUUUCCAGGGAGCCCAUCCACCACUUCUGGAGACACUCCUCAGGUGCACCUUUUCUGUGAAAUUCAUCUCAACUCUGCAGGCAGAGGGCAGGGGCUCCUCUCCUACGUUCACAGAGCCCUUUUACUACCACUACCAUUUUGGCACACGUCAUAACCACACUGUUACUUCUUUACAUGUCCAUGAUCACCAGAUGAUAAGGAAGCACCGGAAGAAAAAGAUACACUAAAAGGGGAGAACUGCAUCCACUCUAAGUUCAGAAAUGGCUGGAAGCCCUUCCACGGCCAAGAUCAGGACCAACUCCAUGGAAACGCGACCUGAGCAGUCACACAGGCUCUACACUGAGAAGGGCCUCACACUUGGCUUUAUCCUCUGCUGUUGCCACCUUGAAAUUCAUCAUCAUUCUUUAUCGAAAGACCCCUCAUUUUCAUUUAGUGCUGGAUCCCACAGAUUAUAUUCUUGUUAACUUAUUCUUUUAAAAAUCUAGGCAUUAGGACCACACAGGUUCCAUGUCAGUACAAUGCCUUAGCUCUUUGUAUACCAUCCCAAGGCAUGGUCACAGCAGAGUAUUGAGUUUAAAUAGUGGUCUAUCCCAUCCAAAGGCAUUAUCACAACAGAGUAUUGAGUUUAAACAGUGAUUGACCUUCAAGUCUACUGUCCUCGGGGAGGCAAGGAACAGGGGGAAAGGAUUUCUUUAGAUUCCCUCACAGGUUCAAGGGAGCAACAAUUUCCAAACAAUGCCAGCCACGAAUGUUGGUCUCAUCGGUCACAGUCUACUGACACACUGGCACAGUCCAAACUGUCUCUGGAAUGUAUCAAACAUCCCCGCCUGAGUAAACAGACCAGAGCUAAUUGGACAAAAGUGACUGAGGAAUAAUUAUGUUAUGAUACUUACACAAUUAAUAGCUUAUUACAGUAGGUCUCAAAAUGUGGUGCCUGAACCUGCUGCAUCAGCAUCACCUGGGAAUUUGUUAGAAAUAUACAAUCUCAGGUGUACUGCAUCAAAGUCUGGGGGUGGGGCCCAGCAAUCUGAGUUUUAACAAUCUAUGCAGAUGAUCCUGAUGUCAUUGAGAACCACUGGCUUAUCAGAAAUGGAGGAAACAUUAUCUUCUGGUUGCAUCAAUUGUAAGAAAUGUUUUCCAUCAUUCAAUUAACAAGAAGAAAGUUACACGUCUUCAUUCAUUCAUUCACUUCAGUCAUAAUUGCUUUAGGCAUAUGCUAAAUACAUCCGUGUGUGUGUGUGUGUAUGUGUGUGUGUGUGUGUACGUGUGUGUGUGUGUGUGUGUGUGUUUAAGCUCUUCAAGUGAGUCAGGCACUGCAAUGGAUAGAAGGAUAAUGGUUUGUGCUAUAAAAGGGCUUAUAAUCCAAUGCAAGAGAAGACAAGAGGCAAAUUCAUAAACAGAAUGCUCUGCCCAGAAUGCCAGAUGAGAAGUAUGAGAAAGUGCAACGUGCAUUUGGCCAAGGGAGAGAUGACAUAGAGCUUGUCAGAGCAAAGUUAGAGAACACUUAAUGAAUGCACAGUGCAGCUAGAAUUUUGAUGUGUAGUAAGUGGGAAGAGAAUCUUCCAGGCACAGGAGAAGCAUAAUGACAUGACAUGGAAAAGAACAGAGUAUGUUACCAGAUGAGCACAUAAUUCUGUGUGUUAGGAGUGCAGCUUCUGUGAAAAGAAUAAAUCUGAGAAUAAGUCAGAAUAGUGGGAGAACUACUUUUGGAGGGAGGGCCCUGAAUUUGAGGCAGAGUUCUUCUGUCUUCUCAUGAGACUGCGAACAGAGGUGUGAGGACUGUAGGGAGGCAGGCAGCACAACCUUCUCAAAUUCUUGCUCCUCCGGCCAUAUCUCCAUUGUGGGAUCCCAGUGCAAAGCUUGAGAAGAAAAGCUACAAAAACCAGAUAAAGGGGCCAGUCAGAUGUCCGAGGCUGGAUAUUCUCCUUGCAUGCUUUUGGCUUCGAUAAUCUUGCUUGCCUCCCUUGUCCACCAACUGCCCGGAUAGCAUCGCUGAUAAGCGCCCUCUCCCCCUUUUCUUUUGUCUCUCAAACCCCUACCAUCCCAGCCAUAAAAGGAGGCCAAUGCCAGGGUUCGGGGCUCAGCCUUUGGAGGUGACUCUGCUGGGCCAGCACCGGUGUGCAAUAAACAGUCUUUUCCUGAUUCCCCAAUUGUGUGUGGCUUGUCUCUUCCUGGGCUCUGAGUAUUUGCUGUAACAAGCUCUCUGAGACUCUACUUUACUGAAGAGAAAGACAUAUUUGUCCUUUUAUUUCACAGGUAUAAUGAGAUGGGCAGAAACAGGUCUAGAACCAUUUGGAGACAGAGCUGUUUUGCCAGGACCACCCCUGGGAAACUAGAUUUCUUCAUGGCUGUAGUCAGCCAGUGCACAGGACAUUGUUUGAAAACUGCUUUUUUAUUCUUUCACAUCAGAAUCGUUCGUGAGAAUGGUUUGGGGCUUGCUCUUUCUUUCUUUCUUCUUUCUUUCUUUCUUUCUUUCUUUCUUUCUUUCUUUCUUUUUUUCUUUCUUUCUGUUUUUAAGUUAAGAGUAAUUUGUAGUUUGGACAGUUUCCUGAGCGAGGCUAUGUUUAAGCUUCCGCUUUUAGAUACCAGACUUCCAGCUCAUCUCUCCCCACCCUCCUGUCCUGCAGCCACAGGCCUUUUUAAAUCCAGGAGCAAGAGACAUCCAAGACAACAUGAUGGGCCCUGGGGCAAGGGAGGACUACCAUUUGUUAACCACCUUUCUAGCUGUUUCUGCCAGUUUCACAUGCUCACUCUUCCCAACUUUCCUAAAGCGAGACAAAGAAAUGGGGGCAAGUAAAUUACAAAAAGCUGAACAGUCAAUUAAAAAAUAUGUAUGUACUUGGAAAAAAUACAUCUCUAUUGAAUGCUAGUUCCUAAGGGCCAAGACCAUCUAUGGUUAAUUCUCUACAGCACUUAAAUGAUAUAAAGUAAUUUGAUGCUUUGAGAUCCUCAUUUAAGAAGUAGUACAAAAAUAGCUAGGAAAAUGUAAAUUACUUCUACUUCUAUGGACAGCAAGUUGGCAAUGCCCAUCAAAACCUAAAAUACAUGUACAAAGUGAGCUGAAAGUUAUACUUCUGAGGGCUCUAUCUUACAGAUAAACUCAAAUAGGCAAACUGGUUCUGUACAAGGUUAUACUGUUCAUACUAAUAAUAUUUUAAAAGAUUAGAAACAACCAAAAGGACCAUGAAGAAAGAAGUGGUUAAAUAAAGUAUAGCCCUAAAAUACUUGGCAACUGGAACAAAGAAUAGGGAAGCACUCUAGUACUGAUAUGGAGAAAGCUCUAAUAUAUACCAUUUCUGACAAAAGGGGAGGCAGCACAAUGUGAUGGGUAUGUUACCAUAAAAAAUCAGAAGAAAGAGUUUAUAUAUACUUGUUUGCU